CCUACGGGAGGCAGCAGUGGGGAAUAUUGCACAAUGGGCGAAAGCCUGAUGCAGCGACGCCGCGUGAGGGAUGACGGCCUUCGGGUUGUAAACCUCUUUUCAGCAGGGAAGAAGCGAAAGUGACGGUACCUGCAGAAGAAGCGCCGGCUAACUACGUGCCAGCAGCCGCGGUAAUACGUAGGGCGCAAGCGUUGUCCGGAAUUAUUGGGCGUAAAGAGCUCGUAGGCGGCUUGUCACGUCGGGUGUGAAAGCCCGGGGCUUAACCCCGGGUCUGCAUUCGAUACGGGCUAGCUAGAGUGUGGUAGGGGAGAUCGGAAUUCCUGGUGUAGCGGUGAAAUGCGCAGAUAUCAGGAGGAACACCGGUGGCGAAGGCGGAUCUCUGGGCCAUUACUGACGCUGAGGAGCGAAAGCGUGGGGAGCGAACAGGAUUAGAUACCCUGGUAGUCCACGCCGUAAACGGUGGGAACUAGGUGUUGGCGACAUUCCACGUCGUCGGUGCCGCAGCUAACGCAUUAAGUUCCCCGCCUGGGGAGUACGGCCGCAAGGCUAAAACUCAAAGGAAUUGACGGCUGAGACGNGCGAGACGACACGAGGAGAG
rnacentral:rRNA from 1 species